GCCUGGGUGGCGAAAUCGGUAGACGCACCGGACUUAAAAUCCGUCGGUCGCAAGACCAUGAGGGUUCGAGUCCCUCCCCAGGCACCA
rnacentral:tRNA from 1 species